UUAACGCUGAGGUGUGAUGACGAGGCACUACGGUGCUGAAGUGAUAAAUGCCCUGCUUCCAGGAAAAGCCUCUAAGCAUCAGGUAACACGAAAUCGUACCCCAAACCGACACAGGUGGUCAGGUAGAGAAUACCAAGGCGCUUGAGAGAACUCGGGUGAAGGAACUAGGCAAAAUGGUGCCGUAACUUCGGGAGAAGGCACGCUGAUGUGUAGGUGAAGCCCCUGCGGGCGGAGCUGAAAUCAGUCGAAGAUACCAGCUGGCUGCAACUGUUUAUUAAAAACACAGCACUGUGCAAACACGAAAGUGGACGUAUACGGUGUGACGCCUGCCCGGUGCCGGAAGGUUAAUUGAUGGGGUUAGCGGCAACGCGAAGCUCUUGAUCGAAGCCCCGGUAAACGGCGGCCGUAACUAUAACGGUCCUAAGGUAGCGAAAUUCCUUGUCGGGUAAGUUCCGACCUGCACGAAUGGCGUAAUGAUGGCCAGGCUGUCUCCACCCGAGACUCAGUGAAAUUGAACUCGCUGUGAAGAUGCAGUGUACCCGCGGCAAGACGGAAAGACCCCGUGAACCUUUACUAUAGCUUGACACUGAACACUGGUCCUUGAUGUGUAGGAUAGGUGGGAGGCUUUGAAGCGUGGACGCCAGUCUGCGUGGAGCCAACCUUGAAAUACCACCCUUUAAUGGCUGGUGUUCUAACGUAGACCCGUUACCCGGGUUGCGGACAGUGUCUGGUGGGUAGUUUGACUGGGGCGGUCUCCUCCCAAAGAGUAACGGAGGAGCACGAAGGUUGGCUAAUCCUGGUCGGACAUCAGGAGGUUAGUGCAAUGGCAUAAGCCAGCUUGACUGCGAGCGUGACGGCGCGAGCAGGUGCGAAAGCAGGUCAUAGUGAUCCGGUGGUUCUGAAUGGAAGGGCCAUCGCUCAACGGAUAAAAGGUACUCCGGGGAUAACAGGCUGAUACCGCCCAAGAGUUCAUAUCGACGGCGGUGUUUGGCACCUCGAUGUCGGCUCAUCACAUCCUGGGGCUGAAGUAGGUCCCAAGGGUAUGGCUGUUCGCCAUUUAAAGUGGUACGCGAGCUGGGUUUAGAACGUCGUGAGACAGUUCGGUCCCUAUCUGCCGUGGGCGCUGGAGAAUUGAGGGGGGCUGCUCCUAGUACGAGAGGACCGGAGUGGACGCAUCACUGGUGUUCGGGUUGUCAUGCCAAUGGCACUGCCCGGUAGCUAAAUGCGGAAGAGAUAAGUGCUGAAAGCAUCUAAGCACGAAACUUGCCCCGAGAUGAGUUCUCCCUGAGAC
rnacentral:rRNA from 1 species